GGGUUGUGAGGUUAAGCGACUAAGCGUACACGGUGGAUGCCCUGGCAGUCAGAGGCGAUGAAGGACGUGCUAAUCUGCGAUAAGCGUCGGUAAGGUGAUAUGAACCGUUAUAACCGGCGAUUUCCGAAUGGGGAAACCCAGUGUGUUUCGACACACUAUCAUUAACUGAAUCCAUAGGUUAAUGAGGCGAACCGGGGGAACUGAAACAUCUAAGUACCCCGAGGAAAAGAAAUCAACCGAGAUUCCCCCAGUAGCGGCGAGCGAACGGGGAGGAGCCCAGAGCCUGAAUCAGUGUGUGUGUUAGUGGAAGCGUCUGGAAAGGCGCGCGAUACAGGGUGACAGCCCCGUACACAAAAAUGCACAUGCUGUGAGCUCGAUGAGUAGGGCGGGACACGUGGUAUCCUGUCUGAAUAUGGGGGGACCAUCCUCCAAGGCUAAAUACUCCUGACUGACCGAUAGUGAACCAGUACCGUGAGGGAAAGGCGAAAAGAACCCCGGCGAGGGGAGUGAAAAAGAACCUGAAACCGUGUACGUACAAGCAGUGGGAGCCUCUUUUAUGGGGUGACUGCGUACCUUUUGUAUAAUGGGUCAGCGACUUAUAUUCUGUAGCAAGGUUAACCGAAUAGGGGAGCCGAAGGGAAACCGAGUCUUAACUGGGCGUUAAGUUGCAGGGUAUAGACCCGAAACCCGGUGAUCUAGCCAUGGGCAGGUUGAAGGUUGGGUAACACUAACUGGAGGACCGAACCGACUAAUGUUGAAAAAUUAGCGGAUGACUUGUGGCUGGGGGUGAAAGGCCAAUCAAACCGGGAGAUAGCUGGUUCUCCCCGAAAGCUAUUUAGGUAGCGCCUCGUGAAUUCAUCUCCGGGGGUAGAGCACUGUUUCGGCAAGGGGGUCAUCCCGACUUACCAACCCGAUGCAAACUACGAAUACCGGAGAAUGUUAUCACGGGAGACACACGGCGGGUGCUAACGUCCGUCGUGAAGAGGGAAACAACCCAGACCGCCAGCUAAGGUCCCAAAGUCAUGGUUAAGUGGGAAACGAUGUGGGAAGGCCCAGACAGCCAGGAUGUUGGCUUAGAAG
rnacentral:rRNA from 1 species